UGAUCCUGCGCCGAAGAUUUCCGGGGCUAAAACUUACUACCGAAGCUACGGCAUCAGUAAUGAUGGGUAGGGGAGCUUCCCAUACGGGUUGAAGCAUGACCGUAAGGACAUGUGGACAGUAUGGGAGCGAGAAUGUUGGCAUGAGUAGCGAGAUGUGGGUGAGAAUCCCACAGGCCGUAAACCCAAGGUUUCCAGGGGAAGGUUCGUCCGCCCUGGGUUAGUCGGGCCCUAGGCUGAGGCCGAAAGGCGUAGGUGCUGGCAAACAGGUGGAUAUUCCUGGACUACCGAU
rnacentral:rRNA from 1 species